UACGGAGGAUCCAAGCGUUAUCCGGAUUUAUUGGGUUUAAAGGGUGCGUAGGCGGCCUGUUAAGUCAGGGGUGAAAGACGGUAGCUCAACUAUCGCAGUGCCCUUGAUACUGACAGGCUUGAAUGAACUAGAGGUAGGCGGAAUGUGACAAGUAGCGGUGAAAUGCAUAGAUAUGUCACAGAACACCGAUUGCGAAGGCAGCUUACUAUGGUUUUAUUGACGCUGAGGCACGAAAGCGUGGGGAUC
rnacentral:rRNA from 1 species